rnacentral:rRNA from 1 species
UACGUAGGGGGCAAGCGUUAUCCGGAUUUACUGGGUGUAAAGGGGGCGCAGACGGCGAUGCAAGCCAGGAGUGAAAGCCCGGGGCCCAACCCCGGGACUGCUCUUGGAACUGCGUGGCUGGAGUGCAGGAGGGGCAGGCGGAAUUCCUGGUGUAGCGGUGAAAUGCAUAGAUAUCACGCAGAACUCCGAUUGCGAAGGCAGCGUACCGGCGCCCAACUGACGCUGAAGCACGAAGGCGUGGGUAUCGAACAGG